rnacentral:tRNA from 1 species
UGGGGUGUGGCCAAGUGGUUAAGGCAGCGGGUUUUGGUCCCGCCAUCCUAGGUUCGAAUCCUAGCACCCCAG